rnacentral:sRNA from 18 species
CCAAUGGAUGGCUAGGGUUCCGGCUGUAAAUAAACAGUGACUGGUCCGAGAGCCAUCGACCUUCUAAGUGGUAGCCAAUUUGCAUAUUGGUAAGAGGGUUACACGGCGGGAUAAAAGCCCGGGAGGA